rnacentral:rRNA from 1 species
GGCAGCAGUGGGGAAUUUUCCGCAAUGGGCGAAAGCCUGACGGAGCAAUACCGCGUGAGGGAUGACGGCCUAUGGGUUGUAAACCUCUUUUUUCAGGGAGGAAUCAAUGACGUGUACCUGAAGAAUAAGCAUCGGCUAACUCCGUGCCAGCAGCCGCGGUAAGACGGAGGAUGCAAGUGUUAUCCGGAAUCACUGGGCGUAAAGCGUCUGUAGGUGGUCAAAUAAGUCAACUGUUAAAUCUUGAGGCUCAACCUCAAAAUCGCAGUCGAAACUAUUCGACUAGAGUAUAGUAGGGGUAAAGGGAAUUUCCAGUGGAGCGGUGAAAUGCGUAGAGAUUGGAAAGAACACCGAUGGCGAAGGCACUUUACUGGGCUAUUACUAACACUGAGAGACGAAAGCUAGGGUAGCAAAUGGGAUUAGAUACCCCAGUAGUCCUAGCCGUAAACAAUGGAUACUAGAUGUUGAACAGAUCGACCUGUGCAGUAUCAAAGCUAA